GCCGGGUGUGGUGGCGGGCACCUGUAAUCCCAGCUACUCAGGAGGCUGAGGCAAAAGAAUCGCUUGAGCCCAGGAGACAGAGGUUGCAGUGAGCCGAAACUGUGCCAUUGCACUCCAGCCUGGGCCACAGAGCAAGACUCUGUCUCAA
rnacentral:SRP_RNA from 2 species